rnacentral:rRNA from 1 species
UACGUAGGUGGCAAGCGUUGUCCGGAUUUACUGGGCGUAAAGAGCGCGCAGGCGGUCGUUCAAGUCGCGUGUGAAAGCCCCCGGCUCAACUGGGGAGGGUCACGCGAUACUGAUCGACUCGAAGGCAGGAGAGGGAAGUGGAAUUCCCGGUGUAGUGGUGAAAUGCGUAGAUAUCAGGAGGAACACCAGUGGCGAAGGCGAGUCCCUGGACAACACCUGACACUGAGGCACGAAAGCUAGGGGAGCAAACAGG